GGCGUGCCUAUACNUGCAAGUCGAGCGGACAGAAGGGAGCUUGCUCCCGGGAUGUAGCGGCGGACGGGUGAGUAACACGUGGGUAACCUGCCUGUAAGACUGGGAUAACUCCGGGAAACCGGAGCUAAUACCGGAUAGUUCCUUGAACCGCAUGGUUCAAGGAUGAAAGACGGUUUCGGCUGUCACUUACAGAUGGACCCCGCGGCGCAUAGCUAGUUGGUGAGGUAACGGCUCACCAAGGCGACGAUGCGUAGCCGACCUGAGAGGGUGAUCGGCCACACUGGGACUGAGACACGGCCCAGACUCCUACGGGAGGCAGCAGUAGGGAAUCUUCCGCAAUGGACGAAAGUCUGACGGAGCAACGCCGCGUGAGUGAUGAAGGUUUUCGGAUCGUAAAGCUCUGUUGUUAGGGAAGAACAAGUGCAAGAGUAACUGCUUGCACCUUGACGGUACCUAACCAGAAAGCCACGGCUAACUACGUGCCAGCAGCCGCGGUAAUACGUAGGUGGCAAGCGUUGUCCGGAAUUAUUGGGCGUAAAGGGCUCGCAGGCGGUUUCUUAAGUCUGAUGUGAAAGCCCCCGGCUCAACCGGGGAGGGUCAUUGGAAACUGGGAAACUUGAGUGCAGAAGAGGAGAGUGGAAUUCCACGUGUAGCGGUGAAAUGCGUAGAGAUGUGGAGGAACACCAGUGGCGAAGGCGACUCUCUGGUCUGUAACUGACGCUGAGGAGCGAAAGCGUGGGGAGCGAACAGGAUUAGAUACCCUGGUAGUCCACGCCGUAAACGAUGAGUGCUAAGUGUUAGGGGGUUUCCGCCCCUUAGUGCUGCAGCUAACGCAUUAAGCACUCCGCCUGGGGAGUACGGUCGCAAGACUGAAACUCAAAGGAAUUGACGGGGGCCCGCACAAGCGGUGGAGCAUGUGGUUUAAUUCGAAGCAACGCGAAGAACCUUACCAGGUCUUGACAUCCUCUGACAACCCUAGAGAUAGGGCUUUCCCUUCGGGGACAGAGUGA
rnacentral:rRNA from 1 species